CAUGAAGUUUCGUGCCGUUCCGACCUCGUUUGAUACGGUUAUGGUUAACCACACGGCCCCUCGGGCCCGACCCGAGCCCAGUCAACGUUUUGACCCGAUCAAAUCGGCCCGUGACCCGAAACGACCCUACUUGGGCCCUACAACAGCCACGUAAAGUUUCGGGAUGAUCCGACGUUCUUUCAUGGGGUUACGGACAAUCCACGCCAAACAAGCGUCACGGGCCGACCGAGCCGGGCCAACGGGCCCUCGGGACCCGAAAACUGAAUUUUUUUUCAUCCAAACCCAUUAAAACACGUUACCGAGGUCUCACGCAAAAUUUCAUGCCAAUCCGACGUCGUUUGAUGGGGUUUUGAAAAAUUAUGAUUCCUCAAAAAUUUAAUGUCUGUUCCUGUCACUUAGCUUUUUGUGCAAAAUGUAUAUAUAGGGGAGGGGUGGGUGUUGAGCAGCCCAUGCCCGGGCAAGGCAUGCCAGCGCCCAAGCCAAAGGAGGCUGGUGGCGUGCGUAUAACAGCUCAAAUGCCCCAACGAUGACCGAGAACAAGCGCCCAUCUCCCCUCCUUCCCCCCACCAAGCGCCCCUCCCCCCCAUGUUGCCUGCCCACUCGCACAGCUACUCGUGAUUUCAUGCCCAGCGACUAGUGAAUGUGCCUCGACGACCAGCAAACCUCGAAAAUUAUGAUUCCUCGUAAAAUUAAUGUCUGUUCCUGUCACUUUACUUUUUGUGCAAAAUGUAUAUAUAGGGGAGACCAGGGGCUUGAGCAACCCCUGUGCCCAAGCAAGGGUCAGAUGGAAGCACACGAGACGCGAGGUUUAAAGCCUAUACAAGCAAGGCGUCUGUCUCCCCAAGCCCCAUUGCCUAUAAAACAAGCCCGAUGCCUUGUAAAUGCCCCACACGAUGCCUAUAAACGACAACGAUGUUUGCUAGUUAAUCGAUCGACGCCCCACACCUUGCAGCAUGUUGCCUAGUAAACAAGCCAUGCUGCCUUGGAAGCGCCCCACAUCAUGGCAUGUUGCCUAGCACGCUGCCCUUGUUUCCCGCACGGCGACCUGAAAGCGUGGCCUGACGACGUGCUUGCCUUCGAAAAUUAUGAUUCCUCAAAAAAUUAAUGUCUGUUCCUGUCACUUUACUUUUUGU
rnacentral:rRNA from 1 species